GAGUUUGAUCGUGGCUCAGAACGAACGCUGGCGGCAUGCCUAACACAUGCAAGUCGAACGGACGGUGGCAACACCGUUAGUGGCGGACGGAUGAGUAACGCGUGGGAACCUGCCUAGCGGUGGGGGACAACCACGGGAAACUGUGGCUAAUACCGCAUACGCCUCCGGGUGUUACAGCCUGGAGGGAAAGAUUUAUCGCCGCUAGAGGGGCCCGCGUCGGAUUAGGUAGUUGGUGAGGUAACGGCUCACCAAGCCUGCGAUCCGUAGCUGGUCUGAGAGGAUGAUCAGCCACACUGGGACUGCGACACGGCCCAGACUCCUACGGGAGGCAGCAGUGGGGAAUAUUGGACAAUGGGGGCAACCCUGAUCCAGCAAUGCCGCGUGAGUGAAGAAGGCCUUAGGGUUGUAAAGCUCUUUCGACGGGGACGAUGAUGACGGUACCCGUAGAAGAAGCCCCGGCUAACUCCGUGCCAGCCGCCGCCGU
rnacentral:rRNA from 1 species